rnacentral:rRNA from 1 species
CGGACGGGUGAGUAAUGUCUGGGAAACUGCCCGAUGGAGGGGGAUAACUACUGGAAACGGUAGCCAAUACCGCAUAACGUCGCAAGACCAAAGAGGGGGACCUUCGGGCCUCUUGCCAUCGGAUGUGCCCAGAUGGGAUUAGCUAGUAGGUGGGGUAACGGCUCACCUAGGCGACGAUCCCUAGCUGGUCUGAGAGGAUGAUCAGCCACACUGGGACUGAGACACGGCCCAG